rnacentral:rRNA from 1 species
CCCGCGCCCCGUAAAACGGGACGGCCCGCCCGAGGACCCCUAAACUCUGUUUUUAGUGGAACUUCUGAGUAAAACAAACAAAUAAAUCAAAACUUUCAACAACGGAUCUCUUGGUUCUGGCAUCGAUGAAGAACGCAGCAAAAUGCGAUAAGUAAUGUGAAUUGCAGAAUUCAGUGAAUCAUCGAAUCUUUGAACGCACAUUGCGCCCGCCAGUAUUCUGGCGGGCAUGCCUGUUCGAGCGUCAUUUCAACCCUCAAGCUCAGCUUGGUGUUGGGACUCGCGGUAACCCGCGUUCCCCAAAUCGAUUGGCGGUCACGUCGAGCUUCCAUAGCGUAGUAAUCAUACACCUCGUUACUGGUAAUCGUCGCGGCCACGCCGUAAAACCCCAACUUCUGAAUGUUGACCUCGGAUCAGGUAGGAAUACCCGCUGAACUUAAGCAUA